rnacentral:lncRNA from 1 species
AUGAGAUCCGUCAAAUGUCUUUCGCCAUCCACUUUUCUAGUUUGGGUCUCUCCAUGGCUGUCCCCAAGGCCACUGGUUGGUGCAGCUUUCCCGCCCCCCCCCCCCCCCCCCCCCCCCCCCGCGCCCCCCCCCCCCCCCCCCCCCCCCCCCCCGCCCCCGGAUGCCUACGUGCUACCCCAACCAGAACUGCAAAAUUUAGAGACUGGGUACCAAAGAAGUAAGGCGUCCUCAGAAGCGGCUGCAGGAGCCAACGCACUGGACUCCCUCAGCCCACAUCUGUGGAAUUAUAACAUCUGAGGACCUGGUGUGGGAGUGAGGGGACCCAAGCCAUUGCAAAUGGGGGGAAAAGGGGCCAGUCAAGACAAUAGAGCUACAUAAUCCAAAGAAGGAUCAAACUGAUCACAGUCCUUGUGACCUUUUACCCUUCCUUUAAUUCUCAAUACUGAACAUCUGUGUUUCUUGGUCAAUGCCUGAAAGUAAUAAAGACAAUUAGAGCUUAGAGCA